rnacentral:rRNA from 1 species
CGAACGCUGGCGGCGUGCCUAAUACAUGCAAGUCGAACGCAUCCUUCGGGGUGAGUGGCGCACGGCUGAGUAACACGUGGGAAUCUGUCUUCUAGUGGGGGAUAACGUCUCGAAAGAGACGCUAAUCCCGCAUACGCUCGGCAACGAGUAAAGGCGCAAGUCGCUAGAAGAGGAGCCUGCGGCCCAUCAGGUAGUUGGAGAGGUAAUGGCUCACCAAGCCUAUGACGGGUAGCUGGUCUGUGAGGACAACCAGCCAGACUGGGACUGAGAACGGCCCAGACUCCUACGGGAGGCAGCAGUAAGGAAUUUUCGUCAAUGGGGGAAACCCUGAACGAGCAACGCCGCGUGGAGGAUGACGGUCUUCGGAUUGUAAACUCCUUUUGUGAGGGACGAUAAUGACGGUACCUCGCGAAUAAGCCCCGGCUAACUCUGUGCCAGCAGCCGCGGUAAUCUGAUGGCGCGAGG